rnacentral:rRNA from 1 species
CAAUAGCGUAUAUUAAAGUUGUUGCAGUUAAAAAGCUCGUAGUUGGAUUUCUGGUGGGAGCGAUCGGUCCGGCGCUUAGCGCGAGUACUUGCAUCGUCUCCGGCCAUCCUUGGGGAGAGUCUGUCUGGCAUUAGGUUGUCGGGCAGAGGAUCCUCAUCGUUUACUGUGAAAAAAUUAGAGUGUUCAAAGCAGGCUUAUGCCGUUGAAUAUAUUAGCAUGGAAUAAUAAGAUAGGACUUUGGUACUAUUUUGUUGGUUUGCGCACCAAAGUAAUGAUUAAUAGGGACAGUUGGGGGUAUUCGUAUUCCGUUGUCAGAGGUGAAAUUCUUGGAUUUACGGAAGACGAACUACUGCGAAAGCAUUUACCAAGGAUGUUUNCAUUAA